GACGAACGCUGGCGGCGUGCCUAAUACAUGCAAGUCGAGCGCAGGAAACUGACGGAACUCUUCGGAGGGAAGGCAGCGGAAUGAGCGGCGGACGGGUGAGUAACACGUAAGGAACCUGCCUCAAGGAUUGGGAUAACUCCGAGAAAUCGGAGCUAAUACCGGAUAGUUCAUCGGACCGCAUGGUCCGUUGAUGAAAGGCGCUUCGGCGUCCCCUUGAGAUGGCCUUGCGGUGCAUUAGCUAGUUGGUGGGGUAACGGCCCACCAAGGCGACGAUGCAUAGCCGACCUGAGAGGGUGAUCGGCCACACUGGGACUGAGACACGGCCCAGACUCCUACGGGAGGCAGCAGUAGGGAAUCUUCCACAAUGGACGAAAGUCUGAUGGAGCAACGCCGCGUGAGUGAUGAAGGUUUUCGGAUCGUAAAACUCUGUUGUAAGGGAAGAACACGUACGAGAGGAAAUGCUCGUACCUUGACGGUACCUUACGAGAAAGCCACGGCUAACUACGUGCCAGCCGCCGCCGUAA
rnacentral:rRNA from 1 species